ensembl:lncRNA uncharacterized LOC103100109
AGUGAUUGCAUCAGUUGGCCACGCUCAUUAUAUCUAGACCUGGCUUCUGUAACACUUCACUGCACUCCCCAGCCACCCACCCACACCCAUUUCCAGUUCUGGAUCCAGGAGCAAAUUCUUGCUGUCACUGUUCCUAGAAGUGAGGUGCCAAUCUUCGUCCAGAUGGCCAUAACCCCUCUCCUUGGAACUUUCCAAACCAGAAACUUGGCGUCCAUUUCCUUCCAUGCUUCCUCUCCCUCUUCCCAAAGGCAGUCCCUUCAAACCAAGUCAGUUCUCUCUCUCGUUACCAGCUAGAGGGAAGGUUGAGCACUGGAAGAGAUUGAAACUGUGGUCCAAAAAGAGAUGGGAAGCUUCUCUGUUCUGUCCUGAGCACCCAUUACAAGAGGCAACUGAGAAGUAACAGGACAUGAGAAAUAUUCCAGAAGUAAGAAUCGAGCAUUUCACUGAAGGUUUUUGUCUUUCUGUUCUUUGAUCCAGACAAGAUUCCCAUCAUUUAUCAUGGAAAAGUUCUCAAGAAACAAAACCAGAAAGGAACAGCUGACUAUCAUCUAUUUAAGGACAUUUCAGUGCCUACGUGAAUUUGGGCUGAGUGAUGCAGUAAAAAAUCCAUGAUCCCAUU